rnacentral:rRNA from 1 species
GACGAACGCUGGCGGCGUGCUUAACACAUGCAAGUCGAACGGUGAAAGCGGAGCUUGCUCCGCUGGAUCAGUGGCGAACGGGUGAGUAACACGUGGCAACCUGCCCCAGACUUCGGGGUAACUCCUCGAAAGAGGUGCUAAAACCGGAUACGAAGCCCCCAGGCAUCUGGGGGCUUGGGAAGUUUUUCGGUCUGGGAUGGGCCCGCGGCCUAUCCGCUUGUUGGGGAGGUAACGGCUCACCAAGGCGAAUGCGGGUAGCCGGGCUGAGGGGGGGCCCGGCCCGAGUGUGCCUGAGACACGGCCCAGACUCCUACGGGAGGCAGCAGUGGGGAAUAUUGCACAAUGGGCGCAAGCCUGAUGCAGCAACGCCGCGUGAGGGAUGACGGCCUUCGGGUUGUAAACCUCUUUUAGCAGGGAAGAAGCGAAAGUGACGGUACCUGCAGAAAAAGCACCGGCUAACUACGUGCCAGCCGCCGCGGUAA